rnacentral:rRNA from 1 species
UACGAAGGGGGCUAGCGUUGCUCGGAAUCACUGGGCGUAAAGCGCACGUAGGCGGAUUGUUAAGUCAGGGGUGAAAUCCUGGAGCUCAACUCCAGAACUGCCUUUGAUACUGAGGAUCUUGAGUUCGGGAGAGGUGAGUGGAACUGCGAGUGUAGAGGUGAAAUUCGUAGAUAUUCGCAAGAACACCAGUGGCGAAGGCGGCUCACUGGCCCGGUACUGACGCUGAGGUGCGAAAGCGUGGGGAGCAAACAGG